rnacentral:rRNA from 1 species
UACGAAGGGGGCUAGCGUUGUUCGGAAUUACUGGGCGUAAAGCGUGCGCAGGCGGUUUUGUAAGCCGGAUGUGAAAUCCCCGGGCUUAACCUGGGAAUGGCAUUCGGGACUGCAAGGCUGGAGUGCGGCAGAGGAGACUGGAAUUCCUGGUGUAGCAGUGAAAUGCGUAGAUAUCAGGAGGAACACCGAUGGCGAAGGCAGGUCUCUGGGCUGACACUGACGCUCAUGCACGAAAGCGUGGGGAGCAAACAGG